rnacentral:lncRNA from 1 species
CGGUGCCGGUGGGAACAAGUGAUCCGUCCAUCAGAUCGCAGGCGGGGGGAGAAUGAUUGUCGCUGAAUCCUGGGGUCACCGCCGUUCGUCUCAUGCUUUUCACUGGAUCGGUCGACCCUCUCCUUAUGCACCGGUAAGAAACCUUUCCCCUUUCGAAUUCGUCCAUAAAACGUGUAGUUGCUGUUGAUGUUGGGUUCUGGAUCGCUGUGUCAUGGGCGCCUAUGAGCUCAUCGCGGUGGGACCGCUUCGCGUCGGGCGGCCAUGGCUAGCUAGUAGGGAGAGAAGGAACGCUGGGAGGCCGUGAGGUAGAAGACAUCGCGCGACCGUCGGAUUUGAACUGAGGGCUGAGAUUAGAUCUGGGAGGGUUGGUUGUCGGCCGUUGAUGCGAGGAUGGACGAACCGGAUCAGGACUCCCAAACCGCUUCACGUUAUUUAAUCGGAGUCGUUGAUCUUCGAAUCCACGAUCGAAAUCGAGUCUUCGCUAUUUUAAAUCUCUGCCAUUGAUUCCGGAUCCAAGGGGCCGGAUGGCGUACAGGUUCGUGGCCGACUAGUUUUAAUCUGGACGCCCCGUUAGGAUCAGGCGGCCGAGAUCAAACCGCACCUAUUCGCUCUGGCACAAUUGCAUAAGAGUCCCUCGGGAAGUAGGAAAUAGAACCCACCAUCCACCUUCACUGUGCGCCGUGUCUUGGGGGUUUUGUCCCGAACCCCCUGGGUUUCUCUAGAUUUGAGGCCUGGUCCAGUGUAAUAUUAAACCAGAGAAAUUAAUCUAUAAAUGGGUUUUUAAUAAAUAAAUAAAUGUUAGAACUUGAUUAAAUCAUAGAAAAUCCAUUUUUAGUCCAAAUUAACCCAUUCAACUUUCUAUAUUUUUGUAAUAUUAUUCUCUAUCACUUAGAGACUCUGUUUUGUCAUGAAAAUAGUAAGAAAAAUAAUUCCCCAUUAAUCCUAUUUUAAGCACAUAAAACCUUUGGAAAUUCAUAUCUUAAAAUCUAUAACUCCAAAAAUUAUGAUUCCUGUUCCUAGGAUUUUAUUUUAACGAGUAGAUUAUUAUUAUGUAUUUUUUACAUGUUUGGUGUGAUGUUAAUUUUCUCUAUAUAUUGUGCUUGUUUGUAUUGUGGCGAGUAGAAGAGCCUAUGACCGAGGAUCCUGGUGACCAGCUGAUAGAAGUAGCUGAGCAGGAGCUCAUUGAAGGCAAGUUGUGCCCUUGAUCACUUCUUUUACCCAUUCAUGUUCUUAUUAAUCAUAAUGAUUUGCAUAGGUUAAUUUUGAUGGGACCCAAUAGGUUACCCUAGAUUUUGACUAUCUUUAUACCUUGUUUCACCACUAGUUUUACUACUAAAUUUUUGGAUAGUACAUGCUAUUGCUUUAUGUGGCUUUGGGUAUAAAGAUAUUCAUCACUCAUUGUUAUACUUUUUAUUAUCUGUUUAUUAUUAUUAUUCAUGAUAAGAUCAUUAUGUUAAUGGGAACAUGGAGAACCACCCAGGAAAACAGUGCUACCACAAGAGUUUAAUGGGACGCCCUUGGCUGAUUAACUAGGAAAGCUAGUGGAUGACUACCUUACCUGAAAGGGGCAAGGGCAGUAGGGGAGUGGUCAGUGUAGGGAGGUCCUUGGGUUGAUUUUGCUGCGAUGGCGGUCAGGCGAGGGAUUCCUGCACUGGAGCUUCCUAUAAACUGUAGCGGGUUUUCUGAAGCUAGUGGAACUUUGUAAAGGCCUCGUAGUGGUACCCUGCCUCGCUUCCUAGGUAGAGGUGUAUGGAGUCUGAUCAACUCCGUGGCAAAUGGGUAACACGACUUGUGGGUAAAGAUGCGCAACCUCUGCAGAGUGUACAACUGGUAUACUAGCCGUGCUCACGGUCAUGAGCGGCUCGGACACUCACAUGAUUAACUUAUGGAACUUAAACUUAAUCUAUCAUUUCAUUGCAUCUGGGAUUAUUUCAUUAUUACUUUUAUUUAUUAUUUCUAAGGUUUGGUAUUUACUUAUACUUAGUAAUUGCUAAUAAAAUUUUGACCAACUUAUAAAAGCAAUGCUCAGCUUCAGCCUUUAUUUCAUUGAUCAGCCUUACACUUCAUGAACUCCCACCUUUGGUGAGUUCAUGCCACAUUAUUCCCCACAACUUGUUGAGCGAUGAACAUGUAGGGGUGGGCACAUUUUUACCAGAAACCGAAAACCGAACCGAACCGAACCGAACCGAAAUUUCGGUUUUUCGGUAGUUCGGUUCGGUUUUGGUUUUUGUAUCUCAAAAGUUCGGUUUUUGGUAUCGUAAUCGGUUUUACCGUAUACCAAACCGAAAUACCAAAAAACCGAAUUACCUAACUUUAUCAAUUCUAAAAUUUGGCUAUUCGAUUAUGUGAACUAAAUGUGUGAAACAAUUAAAUUGUUAUUACUUAUUUAUAUGUGAUGUAUGAUGUAUCUCUAAAUAUUUGUACAUAUAUAAUUUUGACUUUUUAAAAUUAUGUGUAAUCUAUCAUAUAAACUUUUUGUAUGUGUUGUCUUGAGUACAAGUUUGGUAUUCGGUUUUUACCGAAAAACCGAUGUAAAAAACCGAAACCGAACUUCUCGGUUUUCCAUUUUCAAGAAAACCGAUCGGUUUCUAAUGUUUAGAAAACCGAAGUUUUUUAAAACCGAAAAACCAAACCGAAGUUUCAAAAAAACCGAAUGCCCAGCCCUAUGAACAUGUGUGAGCUCACCCUUGCUGUCUCACACCCCCACAAGAGAAGAACAGGUGAUCGAAGAGGAGCCGCCUAACACUGAGGCUUUCGACUUGAUCUAGGUGGCGUCUCCCAGUCAGCUUUUUAGCGCCAAGGAUAGAUUUUAGAUCCUGUGAUAUUUAUCUCUUAUUUUGUAAGACUUCCGCUAUGUAAUAAGUACUCUGAUUAUAUUGUGACAUUUAUCUCUAUACACUCUGUUAUUAUAUAUGUUGUCUUCUCUGGCGCAUGUAUGAGAUGCACCCGGCUUUGUCCCUUAAAGCCCAGGUGUGACAGAAGUGGUAUCAGAGGAAAUAUUGACUGUAGGACGAAACCUAGAUAGAAAUGGACAAACCCUUACCUACUUAUCUUACUCUGAUUCAUUCUAUACUUAUCUCACUCUGAUUCUUUCUAUACUUAUCUUGAUCCUGUCUCACCUUCUACUGUUCCACUCUGAUCAUUCUUAUCUUUUCUACUCUGAUACAAGAUGGAUUUCACACCUUGGAAUCCUACAUUUAUGACCUUCUUAAGAGAUAGGGAACCUAAGACAAAAAAAUAAAACUAUUUUCUCUAUUAAAAAAAUGUUGGUUGAUUGUUCCGAUGAUAAUUGCUUGAUUUGCUUCUUUGAUUGAUUGAAACAUUAUAGUCGGGCAUCUUAGCAUGUACCACUCUAAGGUAAUGUAUUAGCUUCUGUGGGUGACACACUAAUCUACUUAGCUAAUAAAUCCCCCGUAGUAACAUUCCUCGUAAUUACUCGCCUUGUCUACAAUUCUUCCUCUCUUACCCUAUGUUUCUAACCCAGAUAGGCUACCCCUAUACUGUUAGAAGAGAGCAGUAUAGACUUGAUCCUUGGUAUGUCAUGGUUAAGAAAGGCAAAGGUAGUAUUUACACUGUGCUAAGGGAACCGUAGAACUCACUAGUUCCAAAGGACAAAGAUUUGAAGUUGAAGUUGCAGUAACUACCAUCAUCAGACUAGCAUCAUUCCUAGAAGAUGAGAAGUCUGUGGGUGACAACAUCCGUGCAGUUAGAGAUUUUCCGGAUGUCUUUCCAGAUGAGUUAUUAGGGAUGCCACCAGAUAGGGAAGUCGAGUUUGUCAUUGAUCUCUUACCUGAGACUGCCCCUAUUUCUAAACGGCCAUACAUGACGUCCGUAGAAGAACUAAAGGAACUUAAGAAGCAAUUAAUGGAAUUACAAGAGGCUGGGUACAUUUGUCCGAAUUCUUCACCUUGUGGAGCGCCGAUUCUAAAUGUACAGAAGAAAUAAGGAUCGCAAGGGAUGUACGUAGAUUAUAUGUCCCUUAACGAUGUCACUGUGAAGAACAAGUGUCUAUUACCCCACAUUGAGGAUUUAAUCAGAUGAGAGGUGCUAGGGUAUUCUCGGAGAUUGAUCUCUGAUCGGGUUACCAUCAAAUUAAGAUUAGGCCAUCGGAUAUUCCCAAGACGGAUUUCUCGACCCGAUAUGGUUUAUAUGAGUUCAAGGUUAUGUCAUUUGGACUAACUAAUGUAGUAGCCUAUUUUAUGGACCUAAAGAAUAAGGUGUUCGUGAUCUGGAUAGAUUCGUUGUGGUUUUCAUCAAAGAUAUUUUUAUUUAUUCCAAGAGUGAUAGUGAUCAUGAGGAACAUCUAAGAUUGGUGCUACAGAAGCUACGAGAUAAUCAACUCUAUGCCAAGUACAGUAAAUGUGAGUUCUGGAUUGAUGAAGUGUCAUUCCUUGGACAUAUCAUUCCUAAUGGAGGGAUAUCAGUGGAUCCUGCUAAAGUCAAGGAGAUAGUGGCGUGGAGCAUACCCACUACAGUUACGGAGAUCCAGAGUUUCUUGGGACUUGUAGGAUAUUAUCGGAGAUUUAUUGAAGGAUUUUCUAAGAUCGAUAAGCCUAUGACCUCGCUUCUGGAGAAAGGAAGAGAAUUUAAGUAGGAUGAGAAGUGCCAAGAAAGCUUUGAUCAAUUAAAGGAGAGAUUGAUGUCACCACCAGUGUUGGUUAUGCUAGAUCUAUUGAAGUGAUUUGACAUUUAUUGUGAUGCAUGUGGCCAAGGAUUGGGAUGUGUGCUCAUGCAAGAAGGACAUGUGAUCGCCUAUGUGUCUCGUCAGUUGCCGAAACAUGAAUUGAACUACCCCACUCAUGACUUAGAACUGGCAGCGGUUGUGCACACACUUAAGAUAUGGAGACAUUACAUUAUGGGAACUAAGUGCCAAGUGUACACGGAUCAUAAGAGUAUGAAGUAUAUAUUCACUCAGAAGGAUCUCAACCUUAGGCAACACCGUUGGUUGGUGCUUAUUAAGGAUUAUGAUUUGGAGAUUCACUAUCACCCGGGCAACGCGAAUUUGGUUGCAGAUGCCUUGAGUCGAAAGGAGUAUGUUCAUUCAGCUGUUGUUGCCCAGCUUGUGGGGGACAGAUAUCCCCCGGGUCCACUAAAAGAGUAAAAGACCUCACGAAAGGCCCAAGGGCCCAAUAAGUCGUAAGGUCAUUCUUUCGUGGGCCUGGGGAGGGACAAUUAGCAAAGCAGAUCGACAUGAGGCCGGAUUGAUGCCAGCCCGGACGGCCCACAACGUCGAGCGAGCGACCACAACAGAGAUCCGACUUUCCCGCGCUGAAGCCCCCAUGCAACGGAGCCAUGCGAGGAUAGGUCGGCAGAACUACAGGGAGAUAAACUCAAACAGUUCACUAUCUUUUAGCUACACAUUGUUAUCAUAUCCACGUGUAUUGCCCCACGGUCGAGUAUAUAAGGCCUAGGGGGCACCCCUCCAGAACGAUCGACCCUAUUACUUAGCCACCCACUUCAACUCUCUGCAUUCUCAAUUCGGAGAGCUCUCUUGUAACCUCACUCACCAAGCAUACUCACCAGGACGUAGGGUGUUACGCAUCUCUAAGCGGCCCGAACCUAUAAACAUUGUCCACUGUCCCUCGUGCAACUGGCACGAACCAUUUUGCUACAGUCGUCGACACCGUCCAACUCCUAAAAACACCUUGAGGGGCAACCCUGGGUGUGCGGUCGGACCCAAAACACCGACAGCUGGCGCGCCAGGUAGGGGGUGUGUCGACGAUCCAAGCUAGCUCAAUGGCCGUCACCUUCCACAGCAAGAUCACCCUCUGUCCCGGAUCCGUAUUCUGCUUCGGAACAAUCUCAUCCGUAGCAGAUGAAGAGGGAACUCUACAUCGCAUUGUGGAUCCACCGGAAAAGAAGUCUUCUCCAACAAGCUCCGAAAAUGUCGGAGAAGCGCAACCUCCAGUUCUCCGGAAAAAUAUCGUCUCCGGAAAGUCAGGGGCCAAGGGCCCGCUGACCCGGAGAACUCCACUGUCUACUUCCCCGACAAAAGAAUGGACACAGAUCGCGAGGAAGAAGGAGACCAAGGGGAAGCAAGUUGUUCUUUCCGUUCCUCUGCCCUCAAAGGAGAGCGGAAAGAAGGUCGCCACGACAGCAGCACCAUUCUAUCCUGACGUCCUCUUCAUCGGGAGAGUGGAGUCGCCUACCGUCUCCGACGACGAGCCGACCGCACCCGGAGAGGAACCACCUCAACGAGAAUCCCGCUGACGGAGAAACCGGCGCAAGAACGUUCGACGACAUCACGCAGCCGGAGAACGGGAUCCGGAGCAACCUAUCUCGCGAGACGAGGUCUCGGAGAUAGGGGAAACUCCAGAGGAACGCGUCUUCAGAGAACGAAGGAACUCCCGACGACGUGAUCGCCGCCGGGCUCAGGAACAAGCCGAGCAAGAUGCAAGGCAACGCCGGGAGAAUCCAUUCUUCGGACGCAACCUGAAUCCCGACUUCGCCCGAGCCAUGAACACACCGAGCGAAGUUGGAGGAGUACUAGCUCGGAUAGCUGAUGGACUCCCUCGGACUCCCGACGCCGAGGGCUACCGACGACUGUUCACCCAGGCGGCCAACCAUCUUCUACUGCUUGCUCACCCGCCGAACGAUCUACGACACGCCAUCAACAGUCGCUGAGACGCGCGAAGCUCCAUCAAUGCUUCGCGUGAACGACAGCAUGAGAACGAGAUCCGCCGCCGCGAGGAGUAUGACAGGGAUCAUGGCAUCCCAGCUCAGAGCCAGGCCACCAGAACUGAGUCGGCAACAGCCUCAACUGGCGGAACUACCCGGGGACGGUCGAGGAACCACAACAACUACUCCCCUCCCCGGGACAGACAUCAUCCCCGACGAUAGGAGGACACGUGUGGAGUGUCUGCUCUUACUCCGCGCCUUAGGGCCAUCCAAUGGCCUCCCAACUUCAAGGUAUCCAACGUCGACAAAUAUAAACCUAAGCAGGAUCUAGGGGGUUGGCUAGCUGUCUACACCACCGCUGCUCGAGCUGCCGGGGCGUCUGAAGACGUGAUGACUGCGUACUUACCCAUUGUCCUUGGGCAAGACGCGCUGCAAUGGCUGUGACAUCUACCCCGACACUGCAUCGACGACUGGGGCGACUUCAGUCGACGCUUCACCGCCAAUUUCCAGCCCCUCUCCGACAAACCGGCACAACCAUGGGACCUCAAAUCUAUCAAGCGUUGGGGGACGAAACUCUCCAGUCGUACCUCAAAAGGUUCCAGACCAUGAGAAAUCGUAUCCCCGAGGUCACGGAGGCGGCCGUGAUCGAGGACUUCUACAAAGGAUCCAACGACUCGGCCUUCGUCCGAGCCAUAUUACAGAAGGCGCCGACUACCUCCGAGGAGCUGUUCCGGGAAGCCGACCUCUACAUCACCGCCGACGAGCGAGCCCAGGACCUCAUCGGAGGAGCAAAGCCCGCACCGGCGGCACCACGACGCGACGCGAACCAGCAACCCGACAAACGCUAGGAGAAGAGGCCCCGCGAAGAAGUACACGCCACUGGGCCACCAGCUUCUCGCGCCCGAGGAGGACCUCGCGGAGGCGAGCGCACGCUGGACGACAUCCUCGACGCCCAGUGCCCGUACCACAAGGACAUGCGCCACACUCUUCGUAACUGCCGGGACUUCAAGCACUCCGUCGGGCACGGCCGGCCCUUCCAACCUCUACCUCCCCCUCCACCGAGGGGAGGACCAGAUGAACCACGACAGCCCCAUCAGCAGGAGGAGGGAGGAGGAGGAGCCUUCCCGCGCGUUGACAGGGAGGUCAACGUCAUCUUCGGCGGACAUGGGUCGCAGGAGAACAAAAGGCAACAAAAGCUCAACGACCGCCAGAUAUUGGUGGCGACCACCGGUCCUCCCGCCCCAUACCGGUGGUUGGAGCACCCGAUCACUUUCACUUGGGAGGAUCAAUGGCUCAACUUCGACCACCCAGGCAAAUACCCGCUCCUCGUCGAUCCGGUGAUCCGAGAGAGCCGGGUGAAGAAGGUGCUAGUGAAAGGGGGGAGCAGUAUCAACGUCACCUUCCCCCGGACACUCCAAGGCUUGGGAGUUCACCUCAAAGAGCUCCAUGAGUCGGACACUCCCUUCUUCGGCAUCGUGCCGACUGAAGGGGAAUACCCGCUAGGCCACAUCUACAUGCCUGUCACCUUCGGAACUCCAGAGAACUACAGAACCGAGUUCCUGAGGUUCGAAGUGGCGAACUUCGACUGCGGGUACAACGCCAUCAUCGGGAGGCCGGGAUUGGCCAAAUUCAUGGCCAUUCCGCAUUACUGAAAGGGAAUUAGGCUUACACCUAGUCCCUAAUUAAUUUUGGUGGUUGAAUUGCCCAACACAAACAAAUUGGACUAACUAGUUUGCCCAAGUGUAUAGAUUAUACAGGUGUAAAAGGUUCACACUCAGCCAAUAAAAAGACCAAGUUUUGGAUUCAACAAAGGAGCAAAGAGGCAACCAAAGGCCCUCUGGUCUGGGAGCACCGGACUGUCCGGUGUACCAGAGGACUCCAACUCGAACUCGCCACCUUCGGGAAUUUCCAGAGGCGACUCCGCUAUAAUUCACCGGACUGUCCGGUGUACACCGGACAGUGUCCGGUGCACCAAGGGAGGUCGGCCUCAGAAACUCGCCAGCUUCGGGAAACUCCAACGGCUAGUCCGCUAUAAUUCACCGGACUGUCCGGUGCGACUCCGGAGCAACGGCUAUCUCCGCGCCAACGGCUCUCUGCCGCGCAUUUAAUGCGCGCUCUGCGCGCGCAGGUGUCAGGCGCGCCCAUUCCGGCACACCGGACAAGGAACAGUAGAUGUCCGGUGUGCACCGGACACCCAGGCGGGCCCACAAGUCAGAAGCUCCAACGGUCAGAAUCCAACGGCAGUGAUGGCGUGGCAGGGGCACCGGACUGUCCGGUGUGCACCGGACUGUCCGGUGCGCCAUCGAAUAGACAGCCUCCCAACGGCCACAUUUGGUGGUUGGGGCUAUAAAUACCCCAACCACCCCACCAUUCAUUGCAUCCAAGUUUUCCACUUCCCAACUACUACAAGAGCUCUAACAUUCAAUUCUAGACACACCUAAGAGAUCAAAUCCUCUCCAAUUUCCACACAACGCCAUAGUGACUAGAGAGAGUGAUUUGCUUGUGUUCCUUCGAGCUCUUGCGCUUGGAUUGCUUUCUUCUUUCUUGAUCCGUUCUUUGCAAUCAAACACACUUGUAAUUGAGGCAAGAGACACCAAUCUUGUGGUGGUCCUUGUGGGAACUUUGUGUUCCAAGUGAUUGAGAAAAGAAAGCUCACUCGAUCUGUGGAUCGUUUGAGAGAGGGAAGGGUUGAAAGAGACCCGGCCUUUGUGGCCUCCUCAACGGGGAGUAGGUUUGCAAGAACCGAACCUCGGUAAAACAAAUCUCCGUGUCUCACUUGCUUAUUCGCUUGGGAUUUGUUUUUGCGCCCUCUCUCGCGGACUCAUUUCUUUAUUACUAACACUAACCCGUCUUGUAGUUGUGUUUAUAUUUGUAAAUUUCAGUUUCGCCCUAUUCACCCCCCCUCUAGGCGACUUUCAAUUGGUAUCAGAGCCCGGUGCUUCAUUAGAGCCUAACCGCUCGAAGUGAUGUCGGGAGAUCACGCCAAGAAGGAGAUGGAGACCGGCGAAAAGCCCACUACAAGCCAAGGGAGCACUUCAUCGGAAGAGUCCCGCACCAAAAGGAGGGAGAAGAAGAAGAGCUCCUCCAACAAAGGGAAGGAGAAGAAAUCUUCUUCUCACCACAAAGAGAAGAAAGAAAAAUCUUCUUCCCACAAGCCGCAUCGGAGUAAGGACAAGCAAAAGAGGAUGAGGAAAGUGGUCUACUACGAGACCGACACUUCAUCAACAUCAACCUCCGACUCCGAUGCGCCCUCCGUAACUUCUAAACGCCGAGAGCGUAAGAAGUUUAGUAAGAUCCCCCUACACUACCCUCGCAUCACUAAACAUGCACCUUUACUUUCCGUCCCAUUAGGCAAACCACCAACUUUUGAUGGUGAAGAUUAUGCUAGGUGGAGUGAUUUAAUGCAAUUUCAUCUAACCUCACUCCACAAAAGUAUAUGGGAUGUUAUUGAGUUUGGUGCACAGGUACCGUCCGUAGGGGACAAGGAUUAUGAUGAGGAUGAGGUGGCCCAAAUCGAGCACUUCAACUCUCAAGCGACAACGAUACUCCUCGCCACUUUAAGUAGAGAGAAGUAUAACAAAGUUCAAGGGUUGAAGAGCGCCAAAGAAGUUUGGGAUGUGCUCAAAACCGCGCACGAGGGAGACGAGCUUACAAAGAUCACCAAGCGGGAAACGAUCGAGGGGGAGCUCGGUCGGUUCCGGCUUCGCAAAGGGGAGGAGCCACAACACAUGUACAACCGGCUCAAGACCUUGGUGAACCAAGUACGCAACCUCGGGAGCGUAAAAUGGGACGACCACGAAAUGGUUAAGGUUAUUCUAAGAUCUCUUAUUUUCCUUAACCCUACUCAAGUUCAAUUAAUUCGUGGUAAUCCUAGAUAUACUAAAAUGACCCCCGAGGAAGUUAUCGGGAAUUUUGUAAGUUUUGAGUGCAUGAUCGAAGGCUCGAGGAAGAUCAACGAGCUUGAUGAUCCAUCCACAUCCGAAGCUCAACCCGUCGCAUUCAAGGCGACAGAGGAAAAGAAGGAGGAGGCUACACCAACUCGACAACCAAUAGACGCCUCCAAGCUCGACAAUGAGGAAAUGGCGCUCGUCAUCAAAAGCUUCCGCCAAAUCCUCAAGCAAAGGAGAGGGAAAGACUACAAGUCCCGCUCCAAGAAGGUUUGCUACAAAUGUGGUAAGCCCGGUCAUUUUAUUGCUAAAUGUCCUAUAACAAGUGACAGUGACCGAGGCGACGACAAGAAGGGGAGAAGAAAUGAGAAGAAGAGAUACUACAAGAAGAGGGGCGGCGAUGCCCAUGUUUGUCGGGAGUGGGAUUCCGACGAAAGCUCAAGCGACUCCUCCGACGACGAGGACGCCGCCAACAUCGCCGUCACUAAAGGGCUUCUCUUCCCCAACGUCGGCCACAAGUGUCUCAUGGCAAAGGACGGCAAAAGGAAGAAGGUAAAAUCAAGAUCCUCCACUAAAUAUGAAACCUCUAGUGAUGAAAAUGCUAGUGAUGAGGAGGAUAACUUGCAUACCCUUUUUGCCAAUCUUAACAUGGAACAAAAAGAAAAAUUAAAUGAAUUAAUUAGUGCUAUUCAUGAAAAGGAUGACCUUUUGGAUUCCCAAGAGGAUUGUCUAAUUAAAGAAAACAAGAAACAUGUUAAGGCUAAAAAUGCUUAUGCUCUAGAAGUAGAAAAAUGUGAAAAAUUAUCUAGUGAGCUAAGCACUUGCCGUGAGAUGAUUGACAACCUUAGACAUGAAAAUGCUAGUUUAAAUGCUAAGGUUGAUUCACAUGUUUGCAACGUUUCAAUUCCCAAUCCUAGAGAUAAUAAUGAUGAUCUGCUUGCUAGGAUUGAAGAAUUAAACAUGUCUCUUGCUAGCCUUAGAAAUGAAAAUGAAAACUUGCUUGCUAAGGCUAAAGAUUUUGAUGUUUGCGAAGUUACAAUUUCCGACCUUAGAAGUAAAAAUGAAAUAUUGCAUGCUAAGGUUGUAGAACUAAAAUCUUGCAAACCCUCUGCAUCUACCGUUGAGCACACUUCUAUUUGCACUAGAUGUAGAGAUGUUAACAUUGAUGCUAUUCAUGAUCAUAUGGCUUUAAUUAAACAACAAAAUGAUCAUAUAGCAAAAUUAGAUGCUAAAAUUGCCGAGCACAACUUAGAAAAUGAGAAAUUUAAAUUUGCUCGUAGCAUGCUUUAUAAUGGGAGACGCCCGGGCAUCAAGGAUGGCAUUGGCUUCCAAAGGGGAGACAAUGUCAAAAUUAGUGCCUCUCCUAAAAGAUUGUCCAACUUUGUUAAGGGCAAGGCUCCCAUGCCUCAGGAUAACGAGGGUUACAUUUUAUACCCUGCCGGUUAUUCUGAGAGCAAAAUUAGGAGAAUUCAUUCUAGGAAGUCUCACUCUGGCCCUAAUCAUGCAUUUAUGUAUAAGGGUGAGACAUCUAGCUCUAGGCAACCAACCCAUGCUAAGUUGCCUAGAAAGAAAACUACUAGUGCAUCAAAUGAUCAUAACAUUUCAUUUAAAACUUUUGAUGCAUCUUAUGUUUUGACUAACAAAUCCGGCAAAGUAGUUGCCAAAUAUGUUGGGGGCAAGCACAAGGGGUCAAAGACUUGUGUUUGGGUACCCAAAGUUCUUGUGUCUAAUGCCAAAGGACCCAAAACCAUUUGGGUACCUAAAGUCAAGAACUAAACUUGUUUUGUAGGUUUAUGCAUCCGGGGGCUCAAGUUGGAUACUCGACAGCGGGUGCACAAACCACAUGACAGGGGAGAAGAAGAUGUUCUCCUCCUACGAGAAAAACCAAGAUCCCCAAAGAGCGAUCACAUUCGGGGAUGGAAAUCAAGGUUUGGUCAAAGGUUUGGGUAAAAUUGCUAUAUCUCCUGACCAUUCCAUUUCCAAUGUUUUUCUUGUUAAUUCUUUAGAUUACAACUUGCUUUCUGUAUCUCAAUUAUGUCAAAUGGGCUACAACUGUCUAUUCACUGAUGUAGGUGUCACUGUCUUUAGAAGAAGUGAUGAUUCAAUAGCAUUUAAGGGUGUGUUAGAGGGUCAGCUAUACUUAGUAGAUUUUGAUAGAGCUGAACUCGACACAUGCUUAAUUGCUAAGACUAACAUGGGUUGGCUCUGGCAUCGCCGACUAGCCCAUGUUGGGAUGAAGAAUCUUCACAAGCUUCUAAAAGGAGAACACAUUUUAGGAUUAACAAAUGUUCAUUUUGAGAAAGACAGGAUUUGUAGCGCAUGCCAAGCAGGGAAGCAAGUUGGCACUCAUCAUCCGCAUAAGAACAUAAUGACGAUCGACAGGCCACUGGAGCUCCUACACAUGGAUCUAUUUGGCCCGAUCGCUUACAUAAGCAUCGGCGGGAGUAAGUACUGUCUAGUUAUUGUGGAUGAUUAUUCUCGCUUCACUUGGGUAUUCUUUUUACAGGAAAAAUCUCAAACCCAAGAGACCUUAAAGGGGUUCUUGAGACGGGCUCAAAAUGAGUUUGGCUUAAGGAUCAAGAAAAUAAGAAGCGACAACGGGACGGAGUUCAAAAACUCUCAAAUCGAAGGCUUCCUUGAGGAGGAGGGCAUCAAGCAUGAGUUCUCUUCUCCCUACACACCUCAACAAAAUGGUGUAGUGGAGAGGAAGAAUCGAACUCUAUUAGACAUGGCAAGGACCAUGCUUGAUGAGUACAAGACUUCGGAUCGGUUUUGGGCUGAGGCGGUCAACACCGCCUGCUACGCCAUCAACCGGUUAUAUCUACACCGAAUCCUCAAGAAGACAUCAUAUGAACUCCUAACCGGUAAAAAGCCCAACAUUUCAUAUUUUAGAGUCUUUGGUAGCAAAUGCUUUAUUCUUGUUAAAAGAGGUAGAAAAUCUAAAUUUGCUCCUAAGACUGCAGAAGGCUUUUUACUUGGUUAUGACUCAAACACAAGGGCAUAUAGGGUCUUUAACAAGUCCACUGGACUAGUUGAAGUCUCAUGUGACGUUGUGUUUGAUGAAACUAACGGCUCCCAAGUGGAGCAAGUUGAUCUUGAUGAGAUAGGUGAUGAAGAGGCUCCAUGCAUAGCGCUAAGGAACAUGUCCAUUGGAGAUGUAUGUCCUAAGGAGUCCGAAGAGCCUCCAAAUGCACAAGAUCAACCAUCCUCCUCAAUACAAGCAUCUCCACCAACUCAAAAUGAGGAUGAAGCUCAAGUUGAUGAAGUAGAAGAUCAAGCAAAUGAGCCACCUCAAGAUGAUGGCAUUGAUCAAGGGGGAGAUGCAAAUGAGGAAGACAAGGAGGAUGAGGAACAAAGACCGCCACACCCAAGAGUCCACCAAGCAAUCCAACGAGAUCACCCCGUCGACACCAUCCUCGGCGACAUUCAUAAGGGGGUAACUACUCGAUCUCGUGUUGCACAUUUUUGUGAACAUUACUCGUUUGUUUCCUCUAUUGAGCCACACAGGGUAGAGGAAGCACUCCAAGAUUCGGAUUGGGUGGUGGCGAUGCAAGAGGAGCUCAACAACUUCACUAGAAAUGAGGUAUGUCAUUUAGUUCCACGUCCUAACCAAAAUGUUGUAGGGACCAAAUGGGUCUUCCGCAACAAGCAAGAUGAGCAUGGUGUGGUGACAAGGAACAAAGUUCGACUUGUGGCCAAGGGAUACUCCCAAGUCGAAGGUUUGGAUUUCGGUGAAACCUAUGCACCCGUAGCUAGGCUUGAGUCAAUUCGCAUAUUAUUAGCCUAUGCUACUUACCAUGGCUUUAAGCUUUAUCAAAUGGACGUGAAAAGUGCCUUCCUUAAUGGACCAAUCAAGGAAGAGGUCUAUGUUGAGCAACCUCCCGGCUUUGAAGACAGUGAGUAUCCUAACCAUGUCUAUAAGCUCUCUAAGGCGCUUUAUGGGCUCAAGCAAGCCCCAAGAGCAUGGUAUGAAUGCCUUAGAGAUUUUCUUAUUACAAAUGGAUUCAAAGUCGGAAAGGCCGAUCCUACACUCUUUACUAAAACUCUUGAAAAUGACUUGUUUGUAUGCCAAAUUUAUGUUGAUGAUAUUAUAUUUGGGUCUACUAACGAGUCUACAUGUGAAGAGUUUAGUAGGAUCAUGACACAGAAAUUCGAGAUGUCAAUGAUGGGGGAGUUGAAGUAUUUUCUAGGAUUUCAAGUGAAGCAACUCCAAGAGGGCACCUUCAUUAGCCAAACAAAGUAUACACAAGACAUUCUCAACAAGUUUGGGAUGAAGGAUGCCAAACCCAUCAAGACACCCAUGGGAACUAAUGGGCAUCUCGACCUCGACACGGGAGGUAAGUCCGUGGAUCAAAAGGUAUACCGGUCGAUGAUAGGUUCAUUACUUUAUCUUUGUGCAUCUCGACCGGAUAUUAUGCUUUCCGUAUGCAUGUGUGCAAGAUUCCAAGCCGACCCUAAGGAAGCUCACCUUACGGCCGUGAAACGAAUCUUGAGAUAUUUAGCUUAUACUCCUAAGUUUGGGCUUUGGUAUCCUAGGGGAUCCACUUUUGAUUUAAUUGGUUAUUCGGAUGCCGAUUGGGCGGGGUGCAAAAUCAAUAGGAAGAGCACAUCGGGGACUUGCCAGUUCUUGGGAAGAUCCUUGGUGUCUUGGGCUUCAAAGAAGCAAAAUUCGGUCGCUCUUUCCACCGCCGAAGCCGAGUAUAUUGCUGCAGGCCAUUGUUGCGCGCAAUUACUUUGGAUGAGGCAAACCCUGCGGGACUACGGUUACAAAUUAACCAAAGUCCCUUUGCUAUGUGAUAAUGAGAGUGCAAUCAAAAUGGCCGACAAUCCCGUCGAGCAUAGCCGCACUAAACACAUAGCCAUUCGGUAUCACUUUUUAAGGGAUCACCAACAAAAGGGAGAUAUCGAGAUUUCUUACAUUAAUACUAAAGAUCAAUUAGCCGAUAUCUUUACCAAGCCUCUUGAUGAACAAUCUUUUAACAAACUUAGGCAUGAGCUCAAUAUUCUUGAUUCUAGGAAUUUCUUUUGUUAAAAUUGCACACAUUGCUCUUCUAUAUACCUUUGAUCAUGUCUCUCUCAUAUGCUAUGACUAAUGUGUUUUCAAGUCUAUUUCAAACCAAGUCAUAGGUGUAUUGAAAGGGAAUUGGAGUCUUCGGCGAAGACAAAGGCUUCCACUACGUAACUCAUCCUUCGCCGUUGAUCCAAGCAACUCUCCGUUCUAGGGGGAGAAAACAUGAGCACCAAGCAAAAGGACUUCGUCUUUGGUAUAAUCUUAACUCAUUUAUUUAUGACCAAAGGGGAAGGAAACACUUCGAGGGCUCUAAUGAUUCCGUUUUUGGCGAUUCAUGCCAAAAAGGGGGAGAAAUGAGCCCAAAGCAAAAGGACCGCACCACCACCAAUUUCAAAAACUUAAGUGUUGAAUGUUUUCAAUCGGUAUCCUAUUAUGUUCAAAAGGGGGAGAAAGUAGUAUUUCAAAAUGAUAUAUCAAAACCCUCUUGAACACUAAGAGGAGAAUCUCUUUUAGAGGGAGUUUUGUUUAGUCAAAGGAAAAGCAUUUGAAACAGGGGGAGAAAAUUUCAAAUCUUGAAAAUGCUUCUCAAAAUCUUAUUCAUUUGCCUUUGACUAUUUGCAAAAGAACUUUGAAAUGGAUUUACAAAAGAUUUUGCAAAAACAAAACAUGUGGUGCAAAAGUGGUCCAAAAUGUUAUAUAAGAAAGAAACAAUCCAUGCAUAUCUUGUAAGUAUUUAUAUUGGCUCAAAUUCUAAGCAACCUUCACACCUACAUUAUGCAAACUAGUUCAAUUAUGCACUUCUAUAUUUGCUUUGGUUUGUGUUGGCAUCAAUCACCAAAAAGGGGGAGAUUGAAAGGGAAUUAGGCUUACACCUAGUCCCUAAUUAAUUUUGGUGGUUGAAUUGCCCAACACAAACAAAUUGGACUAACUAGUUUGCCCAAGUGUAUAGAUUAUACAGGUGUAAAAGGUUCACACUCAGCCAAUAAAAAGACCAAGUUUUGGAUUCAACAAAGGAGCAAAGAGGCAACCAAAGGCCCUCUGGUCUGGGAGCACCGGACUGUCCGGUGUACACCGGACAGUGUCCGGUGCACCGCCGGACAGUGUCCGGUGCACCAGAGGACUCCAACUCGAACUCGCCACCUUCGAGAAUUUCCAGAGGCGACUCCGCUAUAAUUCACCGGACUGUCCGGUGUAGACCGGACAGUGUCCGGUGCGCCAAGGGAGGUCGGCCUCAGAAACUCGCCAGCUUCGGGAAACUCCAACGGCUAGUCCGCUAUAAUUCACCGGACUGUCCGGUGUACACCGGACUGUCCGGUGCGACUCCGGAGCAACGACUAUCUCCGCGCCAACGGCUCUCUGCCGCGCAUUUAAUGCGCGCUCUGCGCGCGCAGGUGUCAGGCGCGCCCAUUCCGGCACACCAGACAAGGAACAGUAGAUGUCCGGUGUGCACCGGACACCCAGGCGGGCCCACAAGUCAGAAGCUCCAACGGUCAGAAUCCAACGGCAGUGAUGACGUGGCAGGGGCACCGGACUGUCCGGUGUGCACCGGACUGUCCGGUGCGCCAUCGAACAGACAGCCUCCCAACGGCCACAUUUGGUGGUUGGGGCUAUAAAUACCCCAACCACCCCACCAUUCAUUGCAUCCAAGUUUUCCACUUCCCAACUACUACAAGAGCUCUAGCAUUCAAUUCUAGACACACCUAAGAGAUCAAAUCCUCUCCAAUUUCCACACAACGCCAUAGUGACUAGAGAGAGUGAUUUGCUUGUGUUCCUUCGAGCUCUUGCGCUUGGAUUGCUUUCUUCUUUCUUGAUCCGUUCUUUGCAAUCAAACACACUUGUAAUUGAGGCAAGAGACACCAAUCUUGUGGUGGUCCUUGUGGGAACUUUGUGUUCCAAGUGAUUGAGAAAAGAAAGCUCACUCGAUCCGUGGAUCGUUUGAGAGAGGGAAGGGUUGAAAGAGACCCGGCCUUUGUGGCCUCCUCAACGGGGAGUAGGUUUGCAAGAACCGAACCUCGGUAAAACAAAUCUCCGUGUCUCACUUGCUUAUUCGCUUGGGAUUUGUUUUUGCGCCCUCUCUCGCGGACUCAUUUCUUUAUUACUAACACUAACCCGGCUUGUAGUUGUGUUUAUAUUUGUAAAUUUCAGUUUCGCCCUAUUCACCCCCCCUCUAGGCGACUUUCAAUUACACGUACAUGAUACUGAAGAUGCCAGGACCGCAAGGAAUCAUAACUGUGCGUGCCGAUUUCCAAGGCGCCGCAGAGUGUUUCCGAGUGGCCAUCCAAGCAGCCCUCACCACCAAGCCGUCGACGGUUUCUUCAACACAGGCGAACUCUAAGCCUGAGGAGGACCUUGCAGUACCGGCAAACGAAGCUCAGGCCGCGACCUCUAUGCGACCGACUGAAGAAACUAAAAGGAUCAACCUGGGGUUCGCUGAUGAACGCAAGACUGCCAUCAUCAGCUCCAGCCUGGACGACAAAUAGGAAAGCGCGCUCAUCCAGUUUUUGCAAGAUAACCGAGACGUAUUCGCGUGGCAACCCGCGGAUAUGCCAGGAGUCCCAAGAGAACUGGCCGAGCACCAACUGAAGGUCUAUCCCCAAGCUAGGCCGAUCCGGCAAAAACUACGUCGUUUCACGCCCGACAAGAGAGAGGCCAUUCGCGCCGAGUUAGCCCGCUUGGUCGCGGCUGGAUUCAUUAGAGAAGUGUUACAUCCCGAGUGGUUAGCCAACCCUGUUCUUGUACUCAAAAAGAAUAAAGUGGAUUGGCGCAUGUGCGUCGACUAUACUGAUCUCAACAAACACUGUCCGAAGGAUCCCUUCGGGCUCCCGAGGAUAGAUCAGGUGGUGGACUCCACCGCUGGAUGUUCUGUGCUGUCUUUCCUGGAUUGCUAUUCCGGAUACCACCAGAUUAGUUUGGCAAAAGAAGACGAAGAAAAAACAACGUUCAUUACUCCGUUUGGUGCUUUUUGUUAUACCUCCAUGCCGUUCGGCCUCAAGAACGCUGGAGCGACUUAUCAGAGAGCCAUUCAAACAUGCUUAGCCGAUCACUGGGGCAAGCGUGUGGAGGCCUACGUAGAUGAUGUGGUAAUCAAAACAGAGAACUCGGAAAACUUCAUCGAAGACUUACAGCUGGUUUUCAACAGUCUGAGACGGUAUAGAUGGAAGCUUAAUCCCGAAAAAUAUGUUUUCGGGGUACCAGCAGGAAAGUUACUCGGUUUAUUGUCAGCCACCGGGGAAUUGAGGCUAAUCCAGAUAAGAUUGAAGCUAUCAUGAAGAUGGAAGCACCUCGAUCACAAAAGAAGGUUUAGCGACUUACCGGAUGUAUGGCAGCUCUGAGCAGAUUUAUAUCCAGGCUGGGGGAAAAAGGUUUACCAUUUUACAAGCUACUCAAGAAGGUGGAUAAGUUUCAGUGGACUUUAGAGGCACAAGAAGCUCUAGAUGCACUGAAGAAAUUCUUGACAACACCACCAGUACUGAAGCCACCACGACGAGCUACGUCAACUCAACCAGCUGAAGAUCUACUACUGUAUAUCUCUUGCACGACUCACGUGGUAAGCACCGCGUUGGUAGUUGAGCGAGCAGAAGAAGGACAUGCCUACCCAGUGCAACAUCCUGUUUACUUCAUCAGUGAAGUUCUGGGCCCCUCAAAGAAAAAGUAUCCUCAAGUUCAGAAGCUAUUAUAUGCAGUACUUCUAACUGCCCGCAAGCUACGCCACUACUUUGAUGACCACAAAGUCAUAGUAGUCACUGGUUUUCCGAUAGGGGAUAUUCUUCACAACAAGGAAGCCAUUGGCCGAAUAGCCAAGUGGGCUUGUGAGCUGGGAUCUCAUGACAUCGAGUUCCGACCUCGCACUGCCAUCAAAACUCAAGCACUGGUUGAUUUCGUAUCAGAGUGGACUGAACAGCAAGUACCAGAUAACCCAGAGACUACAGAAGUGUGGCGAAUGUAUUUUGAUGGCUCACUGAAGCUGCAGGGAGCAGGAGCAGGAAUUCUCUUCACCGCACCUGGAGGCGAGCACCUCAAAUAUGCCCUCCAGUUGCUGUUUCCGGCCUCCAACAAUGCAGCCAAGUAUGAAGCUCUGAUCCAUGGAUUGAACAUCGCCAUAUCAUUGGGCAUCAAGAGAUUGAUGGUGUACGGAGACUCUCUGGUAGUCAUUAGCCAGAUAAACAAAGAGUGGGAUUGUUCAAGCGAUUCAAUGGGAAAAUACUGCACUGCCGUCCGAAAGCUGGAAGAUAAAUUUGAGGGUCUGGAAUUUCAUCAUGUAGAAAGAGAUCGGAACACAGCAGCCGAUGUAUUGUCCAAGCUAGGAUCCAGUCCAACUCAGGUCCCACCUAGAGUCUUUGUGCAAGAAAUACUACAGCCGAGCAUCUCAAUGGAUCAAACAGAAGAGUGUAAUAUUAUAGAUCAACCCGAGUCAGACUCUGAUGACUGGAGAAGGCCAAUCAUCAAGUAUAUAAAGAAUGAAGAGGAACCAGAUGACAAGAAUUCAGCCGAGCGCAUUGCCAGACAGUCGGCUCACUACACACUCAUUGGGGAGACAUUAUACAGAAGGGGUGCAUCAGGCGUCCUCAUGAAGUGCAUUCUCCCAUCUACUGGGAAGCGACUUCUGGAGGAAGUCCAUGCUGGGCAAUGUGGAAUACAUCCAGCAUCCAGAACACUAGUCGGGAAGGUCUUCAGGUCAGGAUUUUAUUGGCCAACAACGAAGGGUGAUGCAGCCGAGUUAGUUCAGAGGUGCGAAGCUUGCCAAUACUUGUCAAAACAACAACAUCUACCAGCGCAGCAACUGCAGACCAUACCAGUAACUUGGCCUUUCACAUGCUGGGGACUGGAUAUGAUUGGACCUUUCAAGAAAGCUCAAGGAGGAUACACUCAUGUAUUGGAAGCAAUCGACAAAUUCACUAAAUGGAUAGAGUUCAAGCCCAUUGCCUCUUUGACCUCAGCUAAGGCCGUGGAAUUCAUACAAGGCAUAAUAUUCAGAUUCGGGAUACCAAACAGCAUCGUAACUGACCUAGGAUCCAACUUCACAAGUUCAGAGUUCUUCGACUUCUGCGAGCAAAAAAGCAUUCAGAUCAAAUAUGCUUCUGUAGCACACCCGAGAGCCAACGGGCAGGUUGAGCGAGCCAACGGGAUGAUACUGGAAGCACUCAGGAAAAAGGUCUUCGAUAAGAAUGAAAAGUUCGCGGGAAAAUGGAUAAGGGAAUUGCCCUAUGUCGUCUGGAGCCUAAGAACCCAACCUAGCCGAGCUCUGCAUGGAAACACUCCUUUCUUCAUGGUCUAUGGGUCGGAGGCAGUGUUACUCGCCGAUCUCAAGUUCGGGGCGCCAAGGUUGAUCUUCGAAAACAUAGCAGAAGUCGAGGCCACCAGGCUGGAGGACAUUGAUAUACUCGAAGAAGAACGGCUAAAUGCGGUAAUCCAAUCAGCAUGGUACCAGCAGACUCUAAGGCGCUAUCACGACAAGGCCGUGCGACAGCGAUCCUUCUCAGUAGGAGAUCUCGUCCUCGGCCGAAUUCUAACGGGGGAGGGACGACACAAGUUAUCGCCUUUAUGGGAAGGACCCUUCAUAGUAGCAGAAGUCACUCGGCCAGGAUCAUAUCGUCUCACUUAGAUGGACGGCACAGAGGUCGGGAACUCCUGGAACAUAGAACACCUCAGGAAGUUUUAUCCCUAGCUGAAUUUCAAAAGCUACCGGGACGACGAUGUACUCUGUAAAAUGGAAAUAUGUCAUCAAUAAAAAAGGGCUUCCAAGAUACUCAGUUUGUUCAUGAUUGACUUGCAUUCUUACUUAACUCGGGGUGACCACUAUGCCCUGCUAACGGAGCAAUCGGCUUAAGUCGGCAACGACUUAAGGCGGUGCAACAUGCUCGCGCUUACUUAACCCGGGGUGACCACUAUGCCCUGCUAACGGAGCAAUCGGCUUAAGUCGUCAACGACUUAAGGCGGUGCAACAUGCUCACGCUUACUUAACUCGGGGUGACCACUAUGCCCUGCUAACGGAGCAAUCGGCUUAAGUCGACAACGACUUAAGGCAGUGUAACAUGCUCGCGCUUACUUAACUCGGGGUGACCACUAUACCCUGCUAACGGAGCAAUCGGCUUAAGUCGGCAACGACUUAAGGCGGUGCAACAUGCUCACGCUUACUUAACUCGGGGUGACCACUAUGCCCUGCUAACAGAGCAAUCGGCUUUAGUCGGCAACGACUUAAGGUAGUGCAACAUGCUCAUGCUUACUUAACUCGGGGUGACCACUAUGCCCUGCUAACGGAGCAAUCGGCUAAAGUCAGCAGCGACUUAAGCCGGGGCAACAUGCUCACGCCUACACAAUUCAGGGUGACCACUACGCCCUAUUAACAGAAGCAAUCGACUUAAGUCAGCAGCGACUUAAGGCGAUCCGACGUGAUUACAAUUACUCAUAUAAGGAUGACUUCUAUAUCCCGCAAACAAAUUUCAAAACCAUCGCACGUCAUUUUACUACUACGAAUUUAUGAACUGACGAAUUCUGAAACAAUAUGAAAAUAACACUAUCGUCUAAGUACUGAAAUGACGUCCUCUAACAAAUGUUUGACCAUGCUAACCGCGCGCUCAAAGCACGCAAAAUGUCCCUCUAUUUUGUGAUAUCUUUCUCAGGAGCAAUCGAUGAGGAAGGACGACUCGAGGAAUCAGGGGCAGCAUUCACAUCAGCCCUUAUAUCUUCGGGAACAACCACGCCGGGUCUCCUCAUCAAGAUUCGCCCCGCUCGAAUAGCCUUGUCCAUGGCUCUAUCGCGCUGGGCUCUGAGAGUAACAGAAGUUUCUUCGGCAACCUUGGCAGCCAGCCGAGCAGUUUCUAACUCUUGGGCGAUAGAUUUCUUGGAAGCUCGGAGUUCUUUGAUAGUAGCGUCCUUCGCUGAUAUCAACUGCUUGAGCCGGGUCACUUCAUCCGUGGAUUCCUGCAGCUUACAGCGUUGGUUGUCUAACUCUUCCAUGGUGAAGCGAUGACUCCUCUCCAGGAUAGUCAACGAGUUGCUAGAAUCACGAUACAAUCUGUCAAGACUGUCGCGAGAAGCAGCAAGGAUACGUUUUUCUUCCUGCAAACAAAAGUCAACUCCCUCAAACACCAAGCAAGUAAUAGGAGCACAACAAGGCAAAGCACAGUCUCAUAAAUCACCUUUUCAGAAUUGAGCUGAGCAUGAAGAGAAGAACUCAGUGCAUUGGCGUCAUCUAAGGCAGCGGAGACCUGACCUAGUUCAGUCUGACUUUGAGAGUACUUUUCCUCAAAGUCAGUGCACCGCUGGACCAAUUCAGCCUGAUCUCGGGAAUGUUUUUCCUCAAGAGUGGAAAUCUGCCGAGUCAUACCUAGCAGGAGACAAUCAAACAAAAAGGGGUCAGAGUGUAAAGCAGUCCACAGUGAAGACAAAGAGAAGCAAAAAAGCACUAACCAGCGUUGGUCGCCUCCAAUUCAGAGACACGAUGUUGAAGUGACACUGGAUUCCAACAUGCAAGUGACGAAGCUACUUCUGGGACAGAAGCACCCUGUAACCUCAGCUGGCUAGCCAUCCCAUCCACCAAAGCCUGAUGAGGAGAACAGAUGAGUGUAAUGAUAGCAGUUUAUGCAAUGUAAAAACCAAGCUAAAAUACAUCACAGUACCUAGAGGUUGGAAAAGAACGAAGGGAUCCCCAAAUCAGGAGAGAUCAAUUGAUAACCGGGCGUAAGGCCACCACCCGAAGCAGCUUGCAACGAACCAGCAGGAAUCAACUCGGUGCCAUCAACAGAGCCCAACACUCGGUCAGCGGGGACGCUACCCUCUAAAGCGACUCCCUGGUCCAAGGCUUGGGCUACCACCAUACAGCCGGAGUGUGGAGGCGAUCCCGCAUGAACGUCCAUGGAAGUACAGGAGGGAGACCCCGCUCGGACACCCUCGGGGGCUGGGUCAUAGUUUGCACUGCCCACUUGAACCGGAUCAUCCCCGGCAGCACCCUCGGGGGCUGGGCAGUGGCUUACACUUCCCACCCGAACCAAGUCAUCCCCGGCGACAUCCUCGGGGGCUGGGCAUGUGUCAACACCACCCUAGGGGUCCAGGUUCUCUGCGGUAGCCACUUCUAAGGCUAAUGGGCCCUCAGUUACUUCCAUGGGACCAGGACGAUCCAAGUCAGUCUCCCGACCCUCGAGAUUGCGCUCUAAGGUCGACGAGGCACGGGAUGACCUCAACCCAGCAUUAAGCACAUCAGCACAAACCUCCAUCACACCAUCAUCUGCUGGCUCCGAUAACAAAUCCUCUGGAACCAUAUCCUCAAGAGUCUGAUCAAAAUUGGCAGGGACAGUUCUUGCAGGCCAAUGAGAGCAGACAAAGCAGGAGAGGGAACUCCACUACUUUCACCGCUAGCGAUGAACUGCCGACUGUUUUUCCGAGUCAAAGGAACUUCAUCUUCUUCCUCCUCGUCGUCCACAUUAGCAACACAGGCAGCACCCCCAUUGGGAUCAGCAGCAGAUGAAGCACUCACAUUGGGAUCAGCAACAGAUUGGGUACACCCAUUGGGGUCAGCGUCAGUAAAUUCAGUCACAGGCACUUCUUCAGCAGCAGGAACCGAGGUACCAACGUCCCGAUCCAAACUGGAUACUCGCUGGAGGCGUCUCCUUUUCUUUUUCUGCUCAUCAGCAGAAGGAUCAGGCUGAUUGGCUCGGCAAGGGCGCCUCAGGCGAGUACUGGCAGGCUUCUGAGUAUCCAAAGUUGUAUCAGCCUCUUGGAGGGGCGCCACUACCAAGCCCUAGCAGGAGCAGCGUCAGAAGAGUCCUCAGCCAGCAAAUCAAGCAUAGCGCUUAUCUCUGCAUCACUAGGGUUCAGGGGCACCUCAAAAUGGACCUACCGUUCAUCAUCAGGAAUCUCCCCGAGCGAGGCAACCAAGGCACUGACUUCUUCAGCAGAAGGCCGCACUCUAAGGCCCAAACUGCCAUCAGUGACAGGAGGAUUCGACACAAAAAGAGUGAAGGCUUUGGGAGGAGGCAAGUUCCAGGCUGAGAAUGCCACUGGGGCACCAACAUUUGACACUUUGUGUAACACUCAAAAUUGUUUACAAGGAAUAAAUAGUGAAUUCCCUACUGUAUGUGCCUUAAUUGCAUCAUGAAAAGAGCAUGCAUAUAAUUAAGAGUGAGACAAAUGAUUCAAAAAUAAAAUAAAGUACAUCUUGUUGGAGUUUUAUGUUUGUGCAUUAAAUAAAAAUAAUAACAAUAUAAAAAUGACUAGAAAUUGGAUUAAACCCUAAGUUGAAAAAUAGGGUUUUCUAAAAUGAGAAGAAGAGGAAUGAUACAAAAAUAUAAAUAAUGUUAUUAUACUUUUAAAAUUGGUAAUUUUUCAUUUCACAAUAUGAUUUGAGAAUAAAUUUGCACAAGGUUUGAAACUAAAUUCGAAUUCAAAUUGAUUUUUAGAAAUAAAGAAAAGAAAAUGGGAGAUGAAAAGAAAAGGAAAAGCAAAAUCCCACUGUUGGGCCCAAAACCCUCAAUUCGGCCCACCAUCUCUUUUGAUCCGCGCAGCCCACCACUCACUCUCGGCGCCGACAUGGUGGGCCCACAGGGCAGUCGCGCCAGCGCACACAGCAUUUCCCCUUUCACUGCGUCGCGGGGCCCACUGGUUAGCCUCUUCGCUCCUACCACUCCGUCGCUCGCUUACGUAUGGGUCCAGCUCGUCAGUUCCUUGGCGCGCGUCAGGAAAUGUUUGUCUCGCCGACUUGUGGGACCCUCGUGUCAGUUUCGCCUUCAUCCUAACGGACUGGCGCGGGUCUUACGCGGAUGGCGCCGGAGGAAUCGACGGCGCCGUUCUGACCGGCACGGCCCUCGGUGCAUAUAUACCGAGGCGCUCUGUCCAUCCGAGCUGUUAGAAAUCGCUACCCACGACCUAGUUUUCCCUGUGCGUUGUGUUUCCCAUCGCCGCCGUCGACACACGGUAGAACAGGGUGCCGCCGCCGCCAAAACCUCGCACCAUAUCGCCGCUCCCCCUGUUUUGUGCCCGGAGGAACUCGCGGAUUCGUGCGCAACCCCAUCACCGACUAAUUUGGACUUGUGGUUGGCUCGGGCCACCUCGAUUGCUCACCGGUGUCCCAGCUCCGCCUCGGAUCCGCUUAGCACCGACGACUGGCCGCAACACGGUCCCAAUUGCCGGUAACAACUUCCCCUAUGUCUCACCGUAGCUCUGCAUUCGUAUAGUUUACAUACAAUCGGACUAUGGGGCCCUGAAUUGCCGUAUCGGGUUACUCCGGCGAGGAGCGCCGCCGUAGCGCAUGCGGCAACCUCGCUGCCGUGGCGUGUGGUUGGGGAUGAGAGCCUAGCCGUCGAUUGAGCAAUCAAGGGUGCAGGUUAGAUCGGGGGGGGAUCAGGCCAGGGUAAAUGCGGAUCGUCCAAUCGCGAUCGGGCGAGUCGGGGCGAUCGCAGGGGAUUUUAAAUCCAAACCGUAGAUUUGUAAUCGAGCGGUGCCUACUGGAUACCGAUUCGUUUCGAAGCCAGUCUAAUCGUAGCCGUAGAACUUUAAUCCAACGACCGGGAUUGGCCCGUACCCCUUCGCGGGUACGUUUUACAAAAGAAACCCCGCCAAACUUUGAAACCAACCCGCCGUCCAGUGGAACUAUUCCCUGAGUCUGGGUUAUCUUGCGCAGAGACCCUUGAAGUUAUCAGGAAUCGAGGCCCAGUCCUGAGAUGAUUAAAAACAGAGAAUUAAUUAUAGAAAUUCGUUUUUAAUAAAAAAACAAAUAUAGAAACUUGUUUAAUUCAUAGAAAAUGCAUAUGAACUCCAAAUUGAUCCAUUCCAGUUCCAAAAUUUUUAUAAUAUUAUUUUCUAACCAUUAGUGUCUCUGUUUUGACAUGAAAGCAGUAAGAAAAUUAAUUUACCAUUUAAUCCUAUCUCAAGCACAUUAAAUCUUAGGAAAUUCAUAUCUUAAAAUCUAUAAUACCAAAAAUUAUGAUUUAUGUUCUUAGGAGUUUAUUUUAAUGUGUAGAUUUUUAUGGUGUAUUUUAUUCACAUGUUUGGUGCAAUGUUAAUUUUUGCUAUACUAUGUAUGUAUUGUGUUGAUGCGAGUAGACGAGCAAGCCACUGUGGAUUCUGAGGUUCAGCAAGUAGAAGUAGCUGAGCAGGAGCUCAUUGAAGGCAAGUUGUGCCCUUGAUCACUUACUUUUUCCCAGCCAUGUUCUUAUUAAUUAUAAUGAUCUGCAUAGGUUAAUUUUGAUGGGACCCAAUAGGUUACCCCAGUUUUGGCUAUCUUUAUACCUUGUUUUGCCACUAAAUAUUUUUGAGUAGUACUUGCUAUCGCUUAUUGUGGUUUUGGGUAUGAAGAUACACUAUUAAUUACUUCACUUUUAUUAUCUUUUUAUUAUUAAUGUUCAUGUUAAGAUCAUUAUGUUAAUGGGAACAUGGAGCGACCACCCGGAAAAACAGUGCUACCACAAGGGUAUAAUGGGACGCCCUUGGCUGAUUAACUAGGAAAGCUAGUGGAGGUCUUCCUUACCCGAAAGGGGCAAGGGCAGUAGGGGAGUGGUCAGUGUAGGGAGGUCCUUGGUUGAUUUUGCUGCGAUGGCGGUCAGGCAAGAACCCUGCAUUGGAGCUUCCUAUAAACUGUAGCGGGUUUUCUGAAGCUAGUGGAACUUUGUAAAGGCCUCGUAGUGUUACCCUGCCUCGCCUCCUCGGUAGAGGUGUAUGGGAUUGGCCAUCUCUUGGCAGAUGGGUAACAUGACUUGUGGGUAAAGAUGCACAACCUCUGCAGAGUGUAAAACUGGUAUACUAGCCGUGCUCACGGUCAUGAGCGGCUCUGACCCUCACAUGAUUAAAUUAUGGAACUUAAAUUCAAUUUUGUCAUUUGCAUAUGCAUGGGUUUAUUAUUAAUUUUGUUCUAUUAUUUUACUUAAGGUUUGGUAUUUACUUACACUUAGUAAUUGCUAAUAAAAUUUUGACCAACUACUUAAAAGCAAUGCUCAGCUUUAACCAUUCUCUUUGAUAAGCCUUACACUCCAUGAGCUCCCACCUUUGGUGAGUUCAUGUCACAUUAUUCCCCACGACUUGUUGAGCGAUGAACGUAUGUGAGCUCACUCUUGCUGUCUCACACCCCCCAACAGGAGAAGAGCAGGUGGUUCAGGAGGAGCCACAAGGCGAGGAGUAUGAUCUGAUCUAGGUGGCGUUUCUCAGUUGACAUUGGCGCCGACGAUCCUUAGUUCGUUUUAUAUUUACUCUUUUAUUUUGUAAUAAGUCUUCCGCUAUGUAAUAAAUACUCUGAUGUUCAUGACAUUUAUCUCUAUACACUCUGUUAUUAUAUAUGUUGUCUUCUUGGCGCAUGUAUGAGAUGCACCCGGCUUUGUUCCUUAAAACCGGGUGUUACAGAAGUGGUAUCAGAGGAAAUGUUGACUGUAGGACGAAACCUAGAUAGAAAUGGACAAAACCCUUACCUACUUACCUUAUUCUGAUUCAUUCUAUACUUACCUUACUCUGAUUCUUUCUAUACUUAACUUGAUCCUGUCUCACCUUCUACUGUUCUACUCUGAUUAUUCUUAUCUUUUCUACUUCAAGACAAGAUGGAUUUCGCACCUUGGAAUCCUACAACUAUGAACUUUUCCAGAGAUAGGGAACCUAAGAUAAAAUUAAAAUUAUUUUCUUUAUUAAAAAUGUUGGUUGAUUGUUCUGAUGAUCAAUGUCUGAUUUUCUUCUUUGAUUGAUUGAAAUAGUAUAGACGGGCAUCUUAGCAUGUACCACUAUAAGGUAAUGAAUUAGCUUUAGUAGGCGACACACUCAGCUAAUAAAUCCCCCAAAGUAACAUGCUUUGUAAUUACAUGCCUUGUCUACAAUCCUUUCUUUCGUACCCUGUGCUCCUAACCCAGAUGGGCUACCCCUAUAGUGUUAGAAGAGAGCCCUAUAGAUGUGAUCCUUGGUAUAUCAUGGUUAAGAAGGGCAAAGGCAAUUUAUACACUAUGCUAAAGGAACCAUAGAACUCACCAGUUCCAAAGGAGAAAGAUUUCAAGUUAAUAUUGCAAUAACCACCUCAUCCAAACGUACAAUGUUCUUCAUACCUGAGGAGUUUGUUGGUGACAACAUCCGUGUGGUUAGAGAUUUUCCGGAUGUCUUUCCAGAGGAGUUACCAGGAAGCCACCGGAUAGAGAAGUUGAGUUUGUCAUUGAUCUCUUACCUGAGACUGCUCCUAUUUCUAAACGGCUAUACAGGAUGUCCAUAGAAGAACUAAAGAAACUUAAGAAGCAAUUAACGGAAUUACAAGAGGUUGUGUACAUUCGUUCGAAUUCUUCACCUUGUGGAGCGCCGAUUCUAUUUGUACAGAAGGAAGAAGGAUCGCAAGGGAUGUGCGUGGAUUAUAGGUUCCUUAAUGGUGUCACUAUGAAGAACAAGUAUCCAUUACCCCGCAUUGAAGAUUUAUUUGAUCAGAUGAGAGGUGCAAGGGUAUUCUCGAAGAUUGAUCUCCGAUCGGGUUAUCACCAAAUGAAGAUUAGGCCAUCGGAUAUUCCCAAGACAACUUUCUCAACCCGAUAUGGAUUAUAUGAGUUCACCGUUAUGUCAUUUGGACUAACUAAUGCACCAGCUACCUUAUGGAUCUGAAGAAUAAGGUGUUUAUGGAGUAUUUGGACAGAUUCAUCGUAGUAUUUAUGGACGAUAUUCUUAUCUAUUCUAAGAGUGAAAGUGAUCAUGAGGAACACAUGAGAUUGGUGCUAUAGAAGCUACGAGAUAAUCAACUCUAUGUCAAGUUUAGCAAGUGCGAGUUUGGAUUGACAAGGUGCCAUUCCUUGGACAUAUUAUUUCUAAUGGAGGAAUAGCAGUGGAUCCUGCUAAAGUGAAGGAGAUAAUGGAAUGAAGCGUGCCCACUAUCAUCACUGAGAUUUGGAGUUUCUUGGGGCUUGCAGGAUAUUAUCAGAGAUUUAUUGAAGGAUUCUCGAAGAUUGCCAAGCCUAUGACCUCGCUUCUGGAGAAAGGAAGAGAAUUCAAGUGGGAUGAGUAAUGCCAAGAGAGUUUUGAUCAAUUGAAGGAAAGGUUGAUGUCGCCACCAGUAUUGAUUAUGCCAGACCUGCAUAAGGGAUUUGACAUUUACUGUGAUGCAUGUGGCCAAGGACUUGGAUGUGUGCUUAUGCAAGAAGGUCAUGUGAUCGCCUAUGCAUCUCGUCAGUUGCGGAAACAUGAAUUGAACUACCCACUCAUGACUUGGAAUUGGCUGCCGUUGUGCAUGCACUUAAGAUUUGGAGACACUACAUCAUGGGAACUAAGUGCCAAGUAUAUACGGAUCAUAAGAGCUUGAAGUACAUAUUCACUCAGAAGGAUCUCAACCUUAGGCAACGCCGUUGGUUGGAGCUUAUUAAGGAUUAUGAUUUGGAAAUUCAUUACCACCCAGGCAAGGCAAAUUUGGUUGCAGAUGCCUUGAGUCGUAAGGAGCAUGUUCACUCCGCUUUCGUCGUCCAGCUACCUGAUGAAUUAGCAAAAGAUUUUGAGAGGCUCAACCUGGGAAUUGUUACACAUACGGAAGGAGUGACUAUUGAAUUGGAACCUACCUUGGAGCAAGAAAUUCGUAAAGGUCAGAUUGGUGAUGCUAAGAUUCAGGAGAUCAAGGAUCUAAUAACAUAGGGUAGAGGCCCGGAGUUCACAGAGGAUGAGCAGGGCACCAUAUGGUUCAAGAAUCGGAUCUGUGUUCCCGAUAUUGAUAGUCUUCGGGAAACCAUAUUGAAGGAGGCACAUGACUCAGUUUAUUCUAUUCAUCCUGGAUGCACUAAGAUGUAUCAGGAUUUGAAGCAGAAAUAUUGAUGGUAUGGAUUGAAGAGAGAUAUGGCUACACAUGUGGCUAUGUGCGAGGUGUGUCAAAGAGUUAAGGCAGAACACCUAAGACUAACUAGACUACUACACCCAUUAAAGCUACCCGAGUGGAAGUAAGAAGAGAUUGGUAUGGAUUUCAUUAAUUGCCACGCACCUCGAAAGGAUAUGGUUCUAUAUGAGUUAUUAUGGAUAGACUGACCAAAGUGGCUCAUUUCAUUUUGGUCAAGACUACUUAUAAGGGAUCUCAAUUGGUAGAGUUAUAUGUGGCUCGGAUUGGGUCUCAACACGGUGUACCGAAGAAGAUUAUUUUGGAUAGAGGAUCAUAGUUUACCUCCAGAUUUUGGAAAAGCUUUGAUGAGAAUAUGGAUACGAAGUUGAAUUUUAGUUCGGCCUACCAUCCCUAGACUGAUGGGCAGACCGAAAGGACUAACCAAGUAUUAGAAGAUAUGUUGAGAGCUUGUGCCCUUCAAAAUGGUAGUAGUUGGGACAAGAGUCUACCUUAUGCUGAGUUCUCAUAUAAUAACAGUUACCAGUCCAGUCUAAAGAUGUCACCGUUCGAGGCUCUACAUGGCAGGAAAUGCAGGGCUCCUCUACAUUAGGACCAGACUGGAGGAAGACAAUUCUUUGGACAUGAACUUAUUCAAGAGGCAGAAGAACAAGUUCGAAUGAUAAGAGAAAAUUUGAGAAUUGCACAAUCAAGGCAGAAGAGCUAUGCUGAUACCCGGAGAAGACUACUGGAGUUUAAGGAGGGUGAUCACGUGUAUCUGAAGGUGUCACCGAUCCGGGGUAUGAGGAGAUUUAAAGUUAAAGGAAAGUUGUCCCCUCGCUUUAUUGGACCUUUCUUAAUCUUAAAGCGAGUGGGAGAGGUUGCAUAUCAAUUGGAGUUACUGGAUCAUCUUGCGGAUGUUCAUGAUGUUUUUCAUGUAUCUCAGCUGAAAAAAUGUCUCAGGGUACCUGAAGAACAAUUACCAAUGGAAGACCUUAAUGUUCAAGAUGACCUGACUUAUGCUGAGUACCCCAUUAAGAUUCUUGAUACACUGACUCGGGUUACGAGGAAUAAGGUUAUAAAGAUGUGCAAAGUUCAAUGGAGUCACCACGGUGAAGAUGAAGCAACUUGGGAAAGAGAAGAAGAGCUUCGCAUAGAUUUUCCCCAUCUUUUCACUAGUCAUUCCUAAAUCUCGAGGACAAGAUUAUUUUUAAGGGGGUAGGAUUUGUAACACUCAAAAUUGUUUACAAGGAAUAAAUAGUGAAUUCCCUACUGUAUGUGCCUUAAUUGCAUCAUGAAAAGAGCAUGCAUAUAAUUAAGAGUGAGACAAAUGAUUCAAAAAUAAAAUAAAGUACAUCUUGUUGGAGUUUUAUGUUUGUGCAUUAAAUAAAAAUAAUAACAAUAUAAAAAUGACUAGAAAUUGGAUUAAACCCUAAGUUGAAAAAAUAGGGUUUUCUAAAAUGAGAAGAAGAGGAAUGAUACAAAAAUAUAAAUAAUGUUAUUAUACUUUUAAAAUUGGUAAUUUUUCAUUUCACAAUAUGAUUUGAGAAUAAAUUUGCACAAGGUUUGAAACUAAAUUCGAAUUCAAAUUGAUUUUUAGAAAUAAAGAAAAGAAAAUGGGAGAUGAAAAGAAAAGGAAAAGCAAAAUCCCACUGUUGGGCCCAAAACCCUCAAUUCGGCCCACCAUCUCUUUUGAUCCGCGCAACCCACCACUCACUCUCGGCGCCGACAUGGUGGGCCCACAGGGCAGUCGCGCCAGUGCACACAGCAUUUCCCCUUUCACUGCGUCGCGGGGCCCACUGGUCAGCCUCUUCGCUCCUACCACUCAGUCGCUCGCUUACGUAUGGGUCCAGCUCGUCAGUUCCUUGGCGCGUGCCAGGAAAUGUUUGUCUCGCCGACUUGUGGGACCCUCGCGUCAGUUUCGCCUUCAUCCUAACGGACUGGCGCGGGUCUUACGCGGAUGGCGCCGGAGGAAUCGACGGCGCCGUUCUGACCGGCACGACCCUCGGUGCAUAUAUACCGAGGCGCUCUGUCCAUCCGAGCCGUUAGAAAUCGCUACCCACGACCUAGUUUUCCCUGUGCGUUGUGUUUCCCAUCGCCGCCGCCGACACACGGUAGAACAGGGUGCCGCCGCCGCCAAAACCUCGCACCAUAUCGCCGCUCCCCCUGUUUUGUGCCCGGAGGAACUCGCGGAUUCGUGCGCAACCCCAUCACCGACUAAUUUGGACUUGUGGUUGGCUCGGGCCACCUCGAUUGCUCACCGGUGUCCCAGCUCCGCCUCGGAUCCGCUUAGCACCGACGACUGGCCGCAACACGGUCCCAAUUGCCGGUAACAACUUCCCCUAUGUCUCACCGUAGCUCUGCAUUCGUAUAGUUUACAUACAAUCGGACUAUGGGGCCCUGAAUUGCCGUAUCGGGUUACUCCGGCGAGGAGCGCCGCCGUAGCGCGUGCGGCAACCUCGCUGCCGUGGCGUGUGGUUGGGGAUGAGAGCCUAGCCGUCGAUUGAGCAAUCAAGGGUGCAGGUUAGAUCGGGGGGGGGGAUCAGGCCAGGGUAAAUGCGGAUCGUCCGAUCGCGAUCGGGCGAGUCGGGGCGAUCGCAGGGGAUUUUAAAUCCAAACCGUAGAUUUGUAAUCGAGCGGUGCCUACUGGAUACCGAUUCGUUUCGAAGCCAGUCUAAUCGUAGCCGUAGAACUUUAAUCCAACGGCCGGGAUUGGCCCGUACCCCUUCGCGGGUACGUUUUACAAAAGAAACCCCGCCAAACUUUGAAACCAACCCGCCGUCCAGUGGAACUAUUCCCUGAGUCUGGGUUAUCUUACGCAGAGACCCUUGAAGUUAUCAGGAAUCGAGGCCCAGUCCUGAGAUGAUUAAAAACAGAGAAUUAAUUAUAGAAAUUCGUUUUUAAUAAAAAAACAAAUAUAGAAACUUGUUUAAUUCAUAGAAAAUGCAUAUGAACUCCAAAUUGAUCCAUUCCAGUUCCAAAAUUUUUAUAAUAUUAUUUUCUAACCAUUAGUGUCUCUGUUUUGACAUGAAAGCAGUAAGAAAAUUAAUUUAUCAUUUAAUCCUAUCUCAAGCACAUUAAAUCUUAGGAAAUUCAUAUCUUAAAAUCUAUAAUACCAAAAAUUAUGAUUUCUGUUCUUAGGAGUUUAUUUUAAUGUGUAGAUUUUUAUGGUGUAUUUUAUUCACAUGUUUGGUGCAAUGUUAAUUUUUGCUAUACUAUGUAUGUAUUGUGUUGAUGCGAGUAGACGAGCAAGCCACUGUGGAUUCUGAGGUUCAGCAAGUAGAAGUAGCUGAGUAGGAGCUCAUUGAAGGCAAGUUGUGCCCUUGAUCACUUACUUUUUCUCAGCCAUGUUCUUAUUAAUUAUAAUGAUCUGCAUAGGUUAAUUUUGAUGGGACCCAAUAGGUUACCCCAGUUUUGGCUAUCUUUAUACCUUGUUUUGCCACUAAAUAUUUUUGGGUAGUACUUGCUAUCGCUUAUUGUGGUUUUGGGUAUGAAGAUACACUAUUAAUUACUUCACUUUUAUUAUCUUUUUAUUAUUAAUGUUCAUGUUAAGAUCAUUAUGUUAAUGGGAACAUGGAGCGACCACCCGGGAAAACAGUGCUACAACAAGGGUAUAAUGGGACGCCCUUGGCUGAUUAACUAGGAAAGCUAGUGGAGGUCUUCCUUACCCGAAAGGGGCAAGGGCAGUAGGGGAGUGGUCAGUGUAGGGAGGUCCUUGGUUGAUUUUGCUGCGAUGGCGGUCAGGCAAGAACCCUGCAUUGGAGCUUCCUAUAAACUGUAGCGGGUUUUCUGAAGCUAGUGGAACUUUGUAAAGGCCUCGUAGUGUUACCCUGCCUCGCCUCCUCGGUAGAGGUGUAUGGGAUUGGCCAUCUCUUGGCAGAUGGGUAACAUGACUUGUGGGUAAAGAUGCGCAACCUCUGCAGAGUGUAAAGCUGGUAUACUAGCCGUGCUCACGGUCAUGAGCGGCUCGGACCCUCACAUGAUUAAAUUAUGGAACUUAAAUUCAAUUUUGUCAUUUGCAUAUGCAUGGGUUUAUUAUUAAUUUUGUUCUAUUAUUUUACUUAAGGUUUGGUAUUUACUUACACUUAGUAAUUGCUAAUAAAAUUUUGACCAACUACUUAAAAGCAAUGCUCAGCUUUAACCAUUCUCUUUGAUAAGCCUUACACUCCAUGAGCUCCCACCUUUGGUGAGUUCAUGUCACAUUAUUCCCCACGACUUGUUGAGCGAUGAACGUAUGUGAGCUCACUCUUGCUGUCUCACACCCCCCAACAGGAGAAGAGCAGGUGGUUCAGGAGGAGCCACAAGGCGAGGAGUAUGAUCCGAUCUAGGUGGCGUUUCUCAGUUGACAUUGGCGCCGACGAUCCUUAGUUCGUUUUAUAUUUACUCUUUUAUUUUGUAAUAAGUCUUCCGCUAUUGAAUAAAUACUUUGAUGUUCAUGACAUUUAUCUCUAUACACUCUGUUAUUAUAUAUGUUGUCUUCUUGGCGCAUGUAUGAGAUGCACCCGGCUUUGUUCCUUAAAACCGGGUGUUACACUUUGCCUCUAAGAAUCAUCUCAAGUCGGCUCACCAAGUCCAUAGAGGGAAUUCUUCUGUUAGUAACCCGAGUUGAGUCGGCUAGGCCUCGAUACAGAUAAGCCGGGUAUGCCCUGUCUUUCAACGGCUGAAUGUUCUUGAAGACAAAAUCAGCAACCACAGCUUCAGCAGUCAGACCCCUCUCUUUCAGCAAUCCAACUUCAGCCAGCAAAGCACCUGCCUCAGCCACCUCCUGAUCUGUGGGAGACUCGGUCCAGCUUGGGGUGCGAACAUCCGGCUGUCUUCCCGACCGGUGGGGGGGGAGAGAGUUUCCAUAAUUCUCAACUAUGAACCAUUCCAAGCGCCAUCCCUUGAUACUGUCUUUGAGAGGGAUUUCGAGAUACUCAGUCUUCCUCUCGCGGCGCAUCUCCAAGCUAGCACCCCCAACCAACUGAUGUUGUCCCCUGGCCAUCCCAGGGCGACAGUGAUACAAGUACUUCCACAACCCGAAAUGUGGAAGCACGCCAAGAAAGGCUUCGCAUAAAUGAACGAAAAUGGAGAUUUGCAGGAUAGAAUUGGGAUUCAGAUGGGUCAAGUUAAGAUGGUAGAAAUCAAGGAGGCCGCGGAAAAAGGGAGAAAUGGGAAGGCCAAGGCCGCGGAGAAGGAAAGGAGCAUAAAUCACGGACUCAUGGGUAUCCUCAGUUGGGACAGUAACCCCAUGGCAAAUCCGCCAAGAGCAGAGUUCCCUCGGAGGAAGAACCCCGAUGGACACGAGGUGGAGAAGUUCGGGCUCAGAAAUGACGGACAUGUGGUUACCUGCGAAAGGCAACUGGCUGUUGGGGUCAAUUGGAGGAAUCACCACGAUAGACGAACUCGAGGCUUUCCUCUUAGGCGCCAUCUCGAUUCUACCGGCGAGCAGAGUAGGAGGCGAAUUGCGGAGAGGAUUCGAAAGCAAGAAAGCAAGAACUAGGGCACGGAAAGCAGAGGCGGCUAAAAGCGCAGCACUUAUGGGAUAUUCCCGAGCCAGAUACCGUUUCAAAAAGCGCCCAGUCAGCACCCGACGGUUAUUUCCAAAACACCAGCGUGCCACAUCAUCACCCGGCAGUUAUUUCCAAAACACCGGUGCGCCACAUCAUCACUCGGCUAUUAUCCUCAAAGUGGCCCACGUAGCCCGCUAUCGCUCGGCGUUACCUCUAAAACGCCGACAUAGUGUUCAGUCGCUCGGCGUUACCUCUAAAACGCUGACGUCGCCCUCAGGUCGCUCGACAGUUGACUCUAAAACUCCGACACAGUAUUAAGUCGCUCGGCAUUACCUCUAAAAUGCUGACGUCGCCCUCAAGUCGCUCGGCAGUUGACUCUAAAACUCCGACAUUGUGUUCAGUCGCUCGGCAUUACCUCUAAAAUGCUGACGUCGCCCUCAAGUCGCUCGGCAGUUGACUCUAAAACUCCGACAUUGUGUUCAGUCGCUCGACGUUACCUCUAAAACGCCAACGUCGUCUUCAAGUUACUCGGCAGUUAUCUCUAAAACUCCGACAUCGUGUUCAGUCGCUCGGCGUUACCUCUAAAACGCCGACGUCACCCUCAGGUCACUCGGCAGUUAACUCUAAAACUCCGGCAUCGUGUUCAGUCGCUCGGCAGUUACCUCUAAGACGCCGACGACGUCUUCAAGUUACUCGGCAGUUAACUCUAAAACUCGGACAUCAUCUACAAGUCGCUCGGCAGCUACUUCUAAAAGCAUCAGUAUGAUGCCCAAGUUUUUUACUUACAAAUUCCAAGGAAAUCAACUUCACAAAUAAGCAGGAUAAUUGGCACAGAGAAGGCAACAUAAUUUCUUCAUUAAAGGGAAGAUAUCAUACUUACAAAUCAACUCAUUCUGAGUUGAUACUUCCCUACUACUACUACUACGCUACACUAUACUACUCUACACUACUAAUACUACUACAUUAUUCUAACUAUACUAUACUAACAUCUAAUGACCAGUGGCAUCUAGCCACUAGCCCUGUUGCUGCCGCCACCGCUGCCGCACCUGUUGCUGCCCCUGCCGCUGCCGCCCCUGCUGCUGCCCCUGCUGCUGCCGCCACCGCCGCUGCCGCCCCUGCUGCCGCCGCCGUCACCAUCCCUGCUGCCGCUGCUGCCGCCCCUGCCGCUGCCGUGGCCGUCACCACCGCCACCGCCUUCGUCGUCGUCGUCAUUGUCGUCGUCGUCGUCCUCGCCGCCACCGUCCGAGUCCUCCUCAUCCGAGGAGUACUCCGACUCAUCCGAGCCCUCGAGCCCGGAGCGCUCGACGGCCUGGAUGUACGUCCAGACCUCCGCCGCGAGCCUCUGGGAGUCGUCUGAGUCGUCAGACGACUCACGCAGGGGGAUGGGAGCCAGAGACCCCUCAGACUCAGAGGAGAACUCCUCCUCUGAGUACUCCGAGUCACCAAAAUCCUCCGAUGGAGGAGUUGGCUCACGCUUGCGCUUGUUGUUCUUGCCCAUGGUGGAAGCGAAAAGGAGAGAAGAAGAGCAAGCAACGGAGAACAACAAGAGAUGUGGAAAAGCCGGAGAGGCAACGACAUUAUUUAUUGAAGGAGAAGGCAACCGCUCACCUCCAACCACGGUCACUGAACAGUCGUGAAGCAUUCAAUAAGCACUUCAACCCGUCUGAAGACACGUCAGGCGGCUGAUGCCGUUUCACGCAACACAACACCCAUUGGGACUCCAGUCAACAGCGCGGAGGAUAUGAUUACACCAGCCAUCACAUCACAUUACUACUCAGAAGCAGCCGGCUAAAACACUCAGCAUACCAAGCCGUCCCUUGCCCACACCCAUUGGGGGGGGGGGGGGCGCCCAGGAAUUAUCAGUAUAUUUUUCAAAACGGUCACAUCUGUGCAGGGCAUGCAGUGAAUACCUCAAGACAAAAAUGAGAUAUCAGUAAGGAUCAGAGGAAAGCCAAAUAUAGCCAGUGAAGUACAAAAUAUGGCCGACAGAAGCGACGUGAAGACUAGACAGAGAACGUCCAUCAAAUGUCCAAUCAGUCACAGAGCAAAUAAAUUACACUACCUAGCAAGAUAUGGAGGGAUUGCGAACUCGGCUACAAAAGACAAAAUACAUGCUGACCUCUGAAGCAUAAUAUUGAUGACAUAAUGCUUACCUCCAAAGCAUAAUGCGGAUGGCAUCAUGCCGAUUUUUACAAACAGAAAGGAUAAUCUUUAGCAAAAAGACACAAAAGGAAGACCUUCGAAUGGAUUAUCCUCAAAAAUCCACUUGAAGGUCGGGGGCUACACCCAUUGGGUGCACCUUCGGUGCACCCCAUGGAUCAUCACUCCAAGGCAAUAUAGUGUCGACUUCUAAGGCAUGGGACAAGAUUAAAGACAAGGCUGGCCCUUGACCAAAACGCAGGAGUAAAAAUGGAAAUAAUUUCUGGUGAAGACCUUCGAGUAGAUUAUUUUCUAAAAUCUACUCGAAGCUCGGGGGCUACACCCAUUGGGUGCACCUUCGGUGCACCCAAUGAAGUUCAGGGCCCUACAAAACGAAAUGCCGACCUCUAAGGCACAAGCACGAAACAAAGCUUCGGUUUACGAGUGAUCAAAGCAGGAGGAGACAGUAAGAAGUCAUUUUCUUCAAAUCGCCUGCAAGCUGGACCUGGGAUCUUUGGGCUGAUUACCUCUAAAUUAACCCAAAGAUCGGGGGCUUGUGGGGGACAGAUAUCCCCCGGGUCCACUAAAAGAGUAAAAGACCUCACGAAAGGCCCAAGGGCCCAAUAAGUCGUAAGGUCAUUCUUUCGUGGGCCUGGGGAGGGACAAUUAGCAAAGCAGAUCGACAUGAGGCUGGAUUGAUGCCAGCCCGGACGGCCCACAACGUCGAGCGAGCGACCACAACAGAGAUCCAACUUUCCCGCGCUGAAGCCCCCAUGCAACGGAGCCAUGCAAGGAUAGGUCGGCAGAACUACAGGGAGAUAAACUCAAACAGUUCACUAUCUUUUAGCUACACAUUGUUAUCAUAUCCACGUGUAUUGCCCCACAGUCGAGUAUAUAAGGCCUAGGGGGCACCCCUCCAGAACGAUCGACCCUAUUACUUAGCCACCCACUUCAACUCUCUGCAUUCUCAAUUCGGAGAGCUCUCUUGUAACCUCACUCACCAAGCAUACUCACCAGGACGUAGGGUGUUACGCAUCUCUAAGCGGCCCGAACCUAUAAACAUUGUCCACUGUCCCUCGUGCAACUGGCACGAACCAUUUUGCUACAGUCGUCGACACCGUCCAACUCCUAAAAACACCUUGAGGGGCAACCCUGGGUGUGCGGUCGGACCCAAAACACCGACAACCCGAUGAGAUUGUUGAGGAUUUCAGGAGACUUAACCUGGGGCUAGUUGCUCACACUGAAGGAGUUAUUAUUGAUGUGGAACCUACCUUGGAGCAAGAAAUCCACAAAGGACAAAUUGGUGAUGCUAAAAUACAAGAGAUUAAGGAUCUGAUUACUGAAGGUCGAGGUCCGGAGUUCACGGAAGAUGAACAAGGCACAAUAUGGUUCAAGGACAGGAUAUGUGUUCCUGGUAUUGAAAGCCUUCGUGAGACUAUUCUAAAGGAAGCCCAUAACUUGGAUUAUUCUAUUCAUCCUGGUAGUACCAAGAUGUAUCAGGAUUUGAAGCAGAAAUACUGGUGGUAUGGAUUGAAGAGAGAUGUGGCUGCACAUGUGGCUAUGUGCGAUGGGUGUCAAAGAGUUAAGGCCUAACACCAAAGACCAGUUGGACUAUUAUACCCAUUAAAGAUACCCGAAUGGAAGUGGGAAGAGAUUGGUAUGAAUUUCAUUACUGGAUUUCCACGCACCUCGAAAGGAUAUGAUUCUAUAUGAGUUAUUAUGGAUGGACUGACCAAAGUGGCUCAUUUCAUUCCGGUCAGGACUACUUAUAAGUGAUCUCAAUUGGCUGAGUUGUAUAUGGCUUGGAUUGUGUCUCUACACGGUGUACCGAAGAAGAUCAUUUUGGAUAGAGGAUCAUAGUUUACCCCCGGAUUUUGGAAAAGUUUUUCAUGAUAAUAUGGAUACAAAGUUGAAUUUUAGUUUGACCUACCAUCCUCAGACUGAUGGACAGACUGAAAGGACUAAUCAAGUAUUGGAGGAUAUGUUGAGAGCUUGUGCCCUUCAGCAUGGUAGUAGUUGGGACAAGAGUUUACCAUAUGCUGAGUUCUCAUAUAAUAAUAGUUACCAGACCAGUCUAAAGAUGUCACAGUUCGAGGUUCGAUAUGGCAGGAAAUGCAUGACUCCUCUAUAUUGGAUCAUACUGGAGGAAGACAGUUAUUUGGGCCUGAAUUGAUUCAAGAGGCAGAAGAACAAGUCUAUAUGAUUCAGGAGAAUGUGAGGGUAGCUCAGACCAGGCAAAGGAGCUAUGCUGAUAAUAGAAGGAGACCACUGGAAAUUGAGGAAGGUGAUCAUGUGUACCUCAAGGUGUCACCACUUCGUGGAAUGAGGAGAUUUAAAGUCAAGGGCAAAUUGUCCCCUUGCUUUAUUGGAUCAUUCAGAGUUUUUAGGCAAGUUAGAGAGAUGGCCUAUCAACUCGAGCUACCUGCUACUCUAUCUGAUGUACACAAUGUGUUCCACGUGUCUCAACUUAAAAAGUGUCUCCGUGUCCCUGAGGAACAUUUACCAAUGGAAGAUCUCAGUGUUCAGGGUGUUUUGACUUACACGGAGUAUCCUGUCAAGAUUUUGGAUACUUUGACUCGAGUUACAAGAAAUAAUGUGAUAAACUGAUAAAGAUGUGCAAAGUACAAUGGAGUCACCAUGAAGAGGAUGAAGCAACGUGGGAAAGAGAAGAAGAGCUUCGCAUAGAUUUUCCCCAUCUUUUCCCUCGUUCCUCCUAAAUCUCGAGGACGAGAUUAUUUUUAAGGGGGGUAGGAUUUGUAAUACCCACUUUGUAAGAAAAUCCAAAAAGGAGAAAAAAUAUAUCCCUUUGUAUACAUGAGUGUGUCAUCUCCAUCUAUCAUUUCAUAUGAACACAUUACUUACACAAAUAAACCAUUAACAAGAGACACCCAAAUAAAUUGUGCAUCAUGCUGGAGUUUAUGUGAUUGUGCAUCUAUAGAUAAUAAAAAUAAAAGUGUUAAUAACAAUAUAUAAAUGGGUCCAUAGAAUUUAAACCCUAACUUGAAAACAAAACCUUGAAAAUUGGAGAAGAAGAGAGAAAGGUACAAGAAAAUAUAUAAAAUAAAUAUUAUAAAUAAAAUAUGGGGAUGAUCAAAUUAUGUGUUAGUUGAGAAUAAUAAAACCACAACAGUUGGUGAAUUCAAAAUUUAAAGUUCAAAUAAAAAAGGCAAAAGAAAAGGAAGAAGAAAUAUAAAAGAAAAGGAAAAAAACCAUUCACGGGCCACCUCUCGCAUUUGGCCCAAUGCCACUCCAACCUAACAGCCAAGUGCUAGCCAACACGUCGUUUUUUUUGUUUAUUCUCUAGCCGAAUGUGACAUUAGCAUGGCAUCAUGCAUUACAUCAUCAUGCAAAUCCCUCACGCCGCACAAGUGACGCUCGCGCAUGGGGGCUGGGGCCAUGCAGGCAGUCAGCUUCUUCGUUCUUCCUGAAGCUGUUGCAACCACCCGCAUGCACCGGAUCUCAGCUAGACCUUUUCUCCGCAGACUCCCAGCCUCUAUCUCCAUAGCCGCACGUCGAGCCACAGACAGGGAGACUAUAGCCUUGGCGUUGGAAAUAGAGAGAGAGAGAGAGACAGGGAAGGGAGAGAAGGGUGGAGCCGCUGCUGGCUAACUUGGAUAUCGGCUCGUAGAGUCCCCAGGACACGCAGAGUUCUCGGCACGGGUGGCCGAGGUGUGGCCGGCUUCGUGCCGGAGCUUGUAGUUUGUCGCGGCGGGAUCGAGGGCUCCGCCGAUCCCUGCAGCUCAGGCGGUGCCGGUGGGAACAAGCGCUCCGUCCAUCAGAUCGCAGGCGGGGGGAGAAUGAUUGUCGCUGAAUCCUAGGGUCACCGACGUUCGUCUCAUGCUUUUCACUGGAUCGGUCGACCCUCUCCUUAUGCACCGGUAAGAAACCUUUCCCCUUGGCCGCUUCGAAUUCGUCCAUAAAACGUGUAGUUGCUGUUGAUGUUGGGCGCUGGAUCGCUGUGUCAUGGGCGCCUAUGAGCUCAUCGCCGUGGGACCGCUUCGCGUCGGGCGACCUUGGCUAGCUAGUAGGGAGAGAAGGAACGCUGGGAGGCCGUGAGGUAGAAGACAUCGCGCGGCCGUCGGAUUUGAACUGAGGGCUGAGAUUAGAUCUGGGAGGGUUGGCUGUCGGCCGUUGAUGCGAGGAUGGACGAACCGGAUCAGGACUCCCAAACCGCUUCACGUUAUUUAAUCGGAGUCGUUGAUCUUCGAAUCCACGAUCCAAAUCGAGUCUUCGCUAUUUUAAAUCUCUACCAUUGAUUCCGGAUCCAAGGGGCUGGAUGGCGUACCGGUUCGUGGCCGACUAGUUUUAAUCCGGACGCCCCGUUAGGAUCAGACGGUCGAGAUCAAACCGCACCUAUUCGCUCUGGCACAAUUGCAUAAGAGUCCCUCGGGAAGUAGGAAAUAGAACCCACCAUCCACCUUCACUGUGCGCCGUGUCUUGGGGGUUUUGUCCCGAACCCCCUAGGUUUCUCUGGAUUUGAGGCCUGGUCCAGUGUAAUAUUAAACCAGAGAAAUUAAUCUAUAAAUGGGUUUUUAAUAAAUAAAUAAAUGUUAGAACUUGAUUAAAUCAUAGAAAAUCCAUUUUUAGUCCAAAUUAACCCAUUCAACUUCUAUAUUUUUGUAAUAUUAUUCUCUAUCACUUAGAGACUCUGUUUUUACAUGUUUGGUGUGAUGUUAAUUUUCUCUAUAUACUGUGCUUGUUUGUAUUGUGGCGAGUAGAAGAGCGUAUGACCGAGGAUCCUGGUGACCAGUUGAUAGAAGUAGCUGAGCAGGAGCUCAUUGAAGGCAAGUUGUGCCCUUGAUCACUUCUUUUACCCAUUCAUGUUCUUAUUAAUCAUAAUGAUCUGCAUAGGUUAAUUUUGAUGGGACCCAAUAGGUUACCCUAGAUUUUGACUAUCUUUAUACCUUGUUUCACCACUAGUUUUACUACUAAAUUUUUGGGUAGUACAUGCUAUUGCUUUAUGUGGCUUUGGGUAUAAAGAUAUUCAUCACUCAUUGUUAUACUUUUAUUAUCUGUUUAUUAUUAUUAUUCAUGAUAAGAUCAUUAUGUUAAUGGGAACAUGGAGAACCACCCGAGAAAACAGUGCUACCACAAGGGUUUAAUGGGACGCCCUUGGCUGAUUAACUAGGAAAGCUAGUGGAUGACUACCUUACCUGAAAGGGGCAAGGGCAGUAGGAGAGUGGUCAGUGUAGGGAGGUCCUUGGGUUGAUUUUGCUGCGAUGGCGGUCAGGCGAGGGAUUCCUGCACUGGAGCUUCCUAUAAACUGUAGCGGGUUUUCUGAAGCUAGUGGAACUUUGUAAAGGCCUCAUAGUGGUACCCUGCCUCGCUUCCUAGGUAGAGGUGUAUGGAGUCUGAUCAACUCCGUGGCAAAUGGGUAACACGACUUGUGGGUAAAGAUGCGCAACCUCUGCAGAGUGUAAAACUGGUAUACUAGCCGUGCUCACGGUCAUGAGCGGCUCGGACACUCACAUGAUUAACUUAUGGAACUUAAACUUAAUUUGUCAUUUCAUUGCAUCUGGGAUUAUUUCAUUAUUACUUUUAUUUAUUAUUUCUAAGGUUUGGUAUUUACUUAUACUUAGUAAUUGCUAAUAAAAUUUUGACCAACUUAUAAAAGCAAUUCUCAGCUUCAGCCUUUAUUUCAUUGAUCAGCCUUACACUUCAUGAACUCCCACCUUUGGUGAGUUCAUGCCACAUUAUUCCCCACAACUUGUUGAGCGAUGAACAUGUGUGAGCUCACCCUUGCUGUCUCACACCCCCCACAGGAGAAGAACAAGUGAUCGAAGAGGAGCCGCCUAACACUGAGGCUUUCGACUUGAUCUAGGUGGCGUCUCCCAGUCAGCUUUCUAGUGCCAAGGAUAGAUUUUAGAUCCUGUGAUAUUUAUCUCUUAUUUUGUAAGACUUCCGCUAUGUAAUAAGUACUCAGAUUAUAUGUGACAUUUAUCUCUAUACACUAUGUUAUUAU